CGCACAUUGCGCUCGCCAGUAUUCUGGCGAGCAUGCCUGUUCGAGCGUCAUUUCAACCAUCAAGCUCUGCUUGCGUUGGGGAUCCGCGGCUGCCCGCGGUCCCUCAAAAACAGUGGCGGGCUCGCUAGUCACACCGAGCGUAGUAACUCUACAUCGUUCUGGUCGUGCGGCGGGUUCUUGCCGUAAAACCCCCCAAUUUCUAAGGUUGACCUCGGAUCAGGUAGGAAUACCCGCUGAACUUAAGCAUAUCAAUAAGCGGAGGAAAAGAAACCAACAGGGAUUGCCCUAGUAACGGCGAGUGAAGCGGCAACAGCUCAAAUUUGAAAUCUGGCUUCGGCCCGAGUUGUAAUUUGUAGAGGAAGCUUUUGGUGAGGCACCUUCUGAGUCCCCUGGAACGGGGCGCCAUAGAGGGUGAGAGCCCCGUAUAGUCGGAUGCCGAUCCAAUGUAAAGCUCCUUCGACGAGUCGAGUAGUUUGGGAAUGCUGCUCAAAAUGGGAGGUAAAUUUCUUCUAAAGCUAAAUAUAGGCCAGAGACCGAUAGCGCACAAGUAGAGUGAUCGAAAGAUGAAAAGCACUUUGAAAAGAGGGUUAAAUAGCACGUGAAAUUGUUGAAAGGGAAGCGUUUUUGACCAGACUUGCGCCGUUCCGAUCAUCCGGUGUUCUCACCGGUGCACUCGGGACGGCUCAGGCCAGCAUCGGUUUUGGUGGGGGGAUAAAGGUCCGGGGAACGUAGCUCCUUCGGGAGUGUUAUAGCCCCGGGCGUAAUGCCCUCGCCGG
rnacentral:rRNA from 1 species